rnacentral:rRNA from 1 species
UGGGGAAUAUUGCACAAUGGGCGCAAGCCUGAUGCAGCCAUGCCGCGUGUAUGAAGAAGGCCUUCGGGUUGUAAAGUACUUUCAGUCGGGAGGAAGGUGUCAAGGUUAAUAACCUUGGCAAUUGACGUUACCGACAGAAGAAGCACCGGCUAACUCCGUGCCAGCAGCCGCGGUAAUACGGAGGGUGCAAGCGUUAAUCGGAAUUACUGGGCGUAAAGCGCACGCAGGCGGUUUGUUAAGUCAGAUGUGAAAUCCCCGGGCUCAACCUGGGAACUGCAUCUGAUACUGGCAAGCUUGAGUCUCGUAGAGGGGGGUAGAAUUCCAGGUGUAGCGGUGAAAUGCGUAGAGAUCUGAGGAAUACCGGUGGCGAAGGCGGCCCCCUGGACGAAGACUGACGCUCAGGUGCGAAAGCGUGGGGAGCAAACAGG